rnacentral:ncRNA from 2 species
GAAAGCCGUGUGCGGGAAAAUCGCAUGCACGGUUUGAUGAGGGAGGGCUGGUGAAAAAAAAACCAGCUCUCUACUCUAC